CCUGCCUUUCCAGCAAGUCUGGGGCCUCCUGAGGCUGGAGCCCGUCUCCCGUCUGCAGCCCGGUGCGCGGGGGGUCGGGGCUCGCGUGGCCUCGCAGGGGGAGCGCGGGGCGCCCCUGUUUUUGGAGGGUGGGCCGAGGGUGGUCGUGGGGGAGGAAGCCAAGUAAAGGGGGAGGCGCCCAGGGCGGAUGCACGUCGGGGGAGCGGUACUUGAGCUCGGGUGCCCUGGGCCGCCUCCUCUUCCGCCUGGCACCCGCCGUCCCGGGCCGCCCCACGCGCGUCCGCGGAGCCUCCCUCCUCGCCGCCGUCCCGAGUCGCCCCGCGCGAGGCUUUUCCAGGUGCCCCGCCUGGACCGAGCCGGAGUUCCGGGGUGCCCCACCCCCAGCUUCUCCUCCGCGGCAGGGAGAAGCGACCGCGAGGCCUCAGAGGCGCUGGGAAGGUGGAACCCACGGGACCUGCGGUGCCGCGCGUAGGGCUGAGCGGACACGAGGCUUCGCGGGGAGCCCUGGAAGGCCCUCCUGGUGGGAUCCCAUCGCAUCUCCUGCCUCCACUGUCAUCUGCUGCACGUGGUAUCUCCAGGGGGACCUCUCUGCUGGGCUCCAGGCUGCAUGGCUGUGGUUAAAACGUGGAGAGCGGAAUCUUCUGGGCCCACGUAACACACCUUUGCUCGGACAUUCCCUUCGCUACUCACUGGCGAGCUCAGUUGGAAAUUCACUCCCAGUAGGAGUUCCGCAGCAGACACGUGGCUUCAGCAGUUCCAGUCUAAAUUUCGAGCAUAACUGAAUUUUGAAGAUAUCUCUGGAAUUCUUUGGGAAGAAAUGGAUAACUACAUAAAACUAUAUCUGAGUAUAUUGAACAAUCUCAAGAAAAGUAUUAUUGGGCACCGACAAUUAUGUGAAUUCUCUUUCUGUUUUGUUGAAUUUCAUUAGAAGCUCAAAUUCUAAAAGUGAAGCAUCUAUCUUGCACUUUGGCCGAGUGCCUGGAUCUGUUUGAAAUUGGAUCUUAUAAAUAUUCCAUCAAGUCCUAUGUCAUGGGUUUGCUUUUUCCUGGCAGUUAGCCUGUGUGGAUGGCAUCUUAAACAUUUGUGACAUUUUUGCAAAACUUGACAAAAACAUUUCAAGCAUUAAUAGUUUUGUUAAUAAAUUACUCAGCACCCAGACA
rnacentral:lncRNA from 1 species